rnacentral:rRNA from 1 species
GACGAACGCUGGCGGCGUGCUUAACACAUGCAAGUCGAACGGAAAGGCCCUGCUUGCAGGGUACUCGAGUGGCGAACGGGUGAGUAACACGUGGGUGAUCUGCCCUGCACUUCGGGAUAAGCUUGGGAAACUGGGUCUAAUACCGGAUAGGAGCCAUCUUUAGUGUGGUGGUUGGAAAGUUUUUUCGGUGUAGGAUGAGCUCGCGGCCUAUCAGCUUGUUGGUGGGGUAAUGGCCUACCAAGGCGGCGACGGGUAGCCGGCCUGAGAGGGUGUACGGCCACAUUGGGACUGAGAUACGGCCCAGACUCCUACGGGAGGCAGCAGUGGGGAAUAUUGCACAAUGGGCGCAAGCCUGAUGCAGCGACGCCGCGUGGGAGAUGAAGGCCUUCGGGUUGUAAACUCCUUUCGCUAGGGACGAAGCUUUUUUGUGACGGUACCUAGAUAAGAAGCACCGGCUAACUACGUG